rnacentral:rRNA from 1 species
AUUGAACGCUGGCGGCAGGCCUAACACAUGCAAGUCGAGCGAGCGGCGGACGGGUGAGUAAUGUCUGGGGAUCUGCCUGAUGGCGGGGGAUAACUACUGGAAACGGUAGCUAAUACCGCAUACCAUCAGAUGUACCCAUAUGGGAUUAGCUAGUAGGUAAGGUAAUGGCUAACCUAGGCGACGAUCCCUAGCUGGUCUGAGAGGAUGAUCAGCCACACGGGGACUGAGACACGGCCCAGACUCCUACGGGAGGCAGCAGUGGGGAAUAUUGGACAAUGGGCGCAAGCCUGAUGCAGCCAUGCCGCGUGUAUGAAGAAGGCCUUCGGGUUGUAAAGUACUUUCAGUGGGGAGGCGUUACCGGAAGAAGAAGCACCGGCUAACUCCGUGCCAGCAGCCGCGGUAAUAC